AUUUUAGCCCCAAAUUUCUUACCGAAUCAUUAAAAGUUAUAAUCUCUAAAUUUAAAGGAUUUGGCGGUAGUCUAGUCCCGUCAGAGGAACCUGUGUUAUAAACGAUAAACCACGCAAAAUCUUACCUAUUUUCAGCUUGUAUACCGUCAUUAUUAGAUAACUUUUAAAAAAAAAGUUAUUAAAAUAAGCUCUUCUUAAUAUAUUAGAUCAAGGUGCAGCCUAUACUUAGGUUCUUCAUGGGUUACAUUGAAAUUUAUUUACACGCACAUGAACUCUUAAACACUUCAUCUAAGGAGGAUUUGAUAGUAAAAUAAGUUUAAUAAGCUUACUUGAUAAAGGAUCUAGACUAUGUACAUAUCGCCCGUCACUUUCAUUUCCAAAUGAAAUAAGUCGUAACAUAG
rnacentral:rRNA from 1 species